UUCUCACGCCAGGAAUCGAACCUGAGCCUUCUGGGUGAAAGUCAGAUAUCAAAGCCACCAGACCACGUGGGA